UACAGAGGGUGCAAACGUUGCUCGGAAUCAUUGGGCGUAAAGCGCACGUAGGCGGUCUGAUAAGUCGGAUGUGAAAGCCCUGGGCUCAACCCAGGAAGUGCAUUCGAAACUGCCAGACUUGAAUAUGGAAGAGGGUCGCGGAAUUCCCGGUGUAGAGGUGAAAUUCGUAGAUAUCGGGAGGAACACCAGUGGCGAAAGCGGCUUCCUGGUCCAGCACCGACGUUCAGGCACGAAAGCGUGGGGAGCAAACAGG
rnacentral:rRNA from 1 species